GAGUUUGAUCAUGGCUCAGGACGAACGCUGGCGGCGUGCUUAACACAUGCAAGUCGAACGGGAUCAAUUUGGAAAGCUUCGGCCGGAAGGAUUGAUUCGAGUGGCGGACGGGUGAGUAACCGUGAACAAUCUGUCCCAGACAGGGGGAUAACACUUGGAAACAGGUGCUAAUACCGCAUAGACCACGGUAUCGCAUGGUACAGGGGUAAAAGGAGCGAUCCGGUUUGGGGUGAGUUCGCGCCGAUUAGCCAGUUGGGGGGGUAACGGCCCACCAAAGCGACGAUCGGUAGCCGACCUGAGGGGUGAUCGGCCACAUUGGAACUGAGAGACGGUCCAAACUCCUACGGGAGGCAGCAGUGGGAAUAUUGGGCAAUGGGCGAAAGCCUGACCCAGCAACGCCGCGUGAGUGAAGAAGGCCUUGGGUUGUAAAGCUCUGUUACAGGUGACGAAGGAAGUGACGGUAGCUUGUAAGGAAGCCCCGCUAACUACGUGCCAGCAGCCGCGGUAAUACGUAGGGGGCGAGCGUUGUCCGGAAUGACUGGCGUAAAGGGCGUGUAGGCGGUUUUUUAAGUCUGGAGUGAAAGUCCUGCAUUCAAUGUGGAAUUGCUUUGGAUACUGGAAGACUUGAGUGCGGAAGAGGUAAGUGGAAUUCCCAGUGUACGGUGAAAUGCGUAGAGAUUGGGAGGAACACCAGUGGCGAAGGCGACUUACUGGGCCGUACUGACGCUGAGGCGCGAAAGCGUGGGGAGCGAACAGGAUUAGAUACCCUGGUAGUCCACGGGUAAACGAUGAAUGUUACGUGUUGCGGGUAUCGACCCCUGCAGUGCCGGAGUAAACACAUAAACAUUCCGCCUGGGGAGUACGGCCGCAAGGUUGAAACUCAAAGGAAUUGACGGGG
rnacentral:rRNA from 1 species